UUGAGAUUUUCUUUAACUGAUAGGGCGGAUUUAGACGUUAGUCAUUUUGAAAAGAUAACAAUGAUGUUAUCUAUAAGUUGUCUUCUAGAAUGAAUCAUGUUCUCUGUAGACUCCGACAUAGCCUCAAGUUUGAACAUAGCCAAGUCAAACCUAUAUCUAUACGAGUCACAUAAUAAAACCUCUAAAUCUCAACCUCCAUGUUUUACUCCUUGAUUUUCUCUCUCCUCCAACUUCUCUCAACUCAUUAUCAUCUUCUCCUUAUAAUACCCUUUUUUCUGAUGUUGGCGAAGUGUUAGAGAAUAGUCUUAGCCAUGAAGCGCCAGAAAAGCACGACGGGAAAUAAAAAAUGGCGAACUAUCCUCUUCUCAGUCUCAGCUUCCAUUAAAUGUCAUGAUGAAAUACCAACUUGGCAUUAUCUUAUUGUAGAUGGAGUAAGUACUUGACAAGAGUUGCAAGUAGCGGAGGAAAGGAGUCGAGUUUGAUCAGUGUGAUCCAUUUUUUAGUCAUUAUUAUGUAUUAUAUUUUUUUCAGUGUUCUUAUUACUUGGCUGGAGUAAUGAUGUACAGGAGUAGCAGAGUUAUAAAUUGUAAUUAUAAUGUUCUUGGUGCUAAUAUAUUUGGAAAUAGUAUAAAUAUAUAUUCAUUUGUAA